GAGUUUUAAGCAAUGCGAUGCAACACUCUCAAGAAUCAACUUCUCCCGCUCACCGAUGCAGCUUUCAACAACGGCGCAUUUGCCGCAUCAAGAGUCUAAGUUCACACUCCAUCGCCGGCUGAUCCCGAGACACAAGACAAAUAGGCAAGGUAACGAGUCAGCGCGAAUCGCCCGUUGGCAAACUAAUGAAGAAAGUGAACUCGGCGUCUCCAUCGGAUGGGGCAGCAUUUUCCAAUUGUCGAGAAUAGUUGAUCUCUUUGUUAUACACACAAAAUAAAAGCA